rnacentral:rRNA from 1 species
AGAGUUUGAUCCUGGCUCAGAGCGAACGCUGGCGGCGUGCUUAACACAUGCAAGUCGAACGCGCAGCAUUCUGUAGCAAUACAGCGUGUAGGCGCGUGGCGAACGGGUGCGUAACACGUGGAUAACCUUCCUUCAGGUGGGGAAUAACCCAGCGAAAGUUGGGCUAAUACCGCAUAACAUUACGAGGGCACAUGCUCUUGUACUCAAAGGCGCAAGUCGCCAGAAGAGGGAUCCGCGGCCGAUUAGCUAGUUGGCGAGGUAAUGGCUCACCAAGGCAAUGAUCGGUAGCCGGUCUGAGAGGAUGAUCGGCCACACUGGAACUGAGACACGGUCCAGACUCCUACGGGAGGCAGCAGUGGGGAAUCUUGCGCAAUGGGCGAAAGCCUGACGCAGCAACGCCGCGUGGGGGAUGAAGCUUCUCGGAGUGUAGACCCCUUUCGACCCGGACGAAUGCCCGCAAGGGUUUGACGGUACAGGUAUAAGAAGCCCCGGCUAACUACGUGCCAGCAGCCGCGGUAAUACGUAGGGGGCCAGCGUUGCUCGGAAUUACUGGGCGUAAAGGGUCCGUAGGCGGUGUGGCAAGUCGGGAGUGAAAUCUCUGGGCUUAACUCAGAGGCUGCUUCCGAAACUGCCGUGCUAGAGUGUGAGAGAGGCGAGUGGAAUUGCGGGUGUAGCGGUGAAAUGCGUAGAUAUCCGCAGGAACAUCCGAGGCGAAAGCGGCUCGCUGGAUCACAACUGACGCUGAGGGACGAAAGCUAGGGGAGCAAACAGGAUUAGAUACCCUGGUAGUCCUAGCCCUAAACCAUCAGACUUGGGGUUUGCCCUGUACGGGGCAAGUCCCGUAGCUAACGCGUUAAGUCCUGCGCCUGGGGAGUACGGUCGCAAGACUGAAACUCAAAGGAAUUGACGGGGGCCCGCACAAGCGGUGGAACAUGUGGUUCAAUUCGACGCAACGCGAAGAACCUUACCUGGGCUUGAACCGCACAGGACCAUCUUUGGAAACAGAGACU